CCUACGGGGGGCUGCAGUCGAGAAUCUUCCGCAAUGGACGAAAGUCUGACGGAGCGACGCCGCGUGAUUGAUGAAGCAUUUCGGUGUGUAAAGAUCUUUUAUGAGGGAAGAAGUUUAUUGACGGUACCUCAUGAAUAAGGGGCUCCUAAUCUCGUGCCAGCAGGAGCGGUAAUACGAGAGCCCCGAGCGUUAUCCGGAAUUAUUGGGCGUAAAGGGUGCGUAGGUGGCAUUGUUAGUCGUUUGUCAAAUCCUCGGGCUUAACUCGAGAACCGCGAACGAAACGGCAGUGCUAGAGAGUGUGGGGGGUAUAGGGAACUCAUGGUGUAGGGGUGAAAUCCGUUGAUAUCAUGGGGAACACCAAAAGCGAAGGCACUAUACUAACACAUAUCUGACACUCAAGCACGAAAGCGUGGGUAGCGAACGGGCUUAGAUACCCCUGUAGUC
rnacentral:rRNA from 1 species